UCUGGGCCCAAACCUCACACGGGUGAGACCAGAGGCUCUACUUGUGCCCUGGUGACAGCCCUGCGGCUGGGACUUCAGAUCUCUACCUGGGACUGCAACUUGACCCACUUUCUACAGAGCAGAUGGGACUGAGCACCCACUAAGCCAUUGGGACUAUUUGCCCACCAGGGUUGUCGCCAGGAUGUGGUGGCACCCAUUAUGGAAAAGGGAAGCAUAACAGCACAUGAGAUACUGCCUGUAAAAUCCAGCAGCUGUAAGUGGACUUCUGCUGCUGGACAGCAAACCCUGUGAUCCACUGGUGGUCAGGGAUGCCUCCACCGUCGUUGUGUUCUUCCUCCAAGAACGUCUGAGUUUAGAUUACAAUUAUUAUACCCUGCACUGGUUAUUAAGAAUUUGACCUGAUCUGCAGAGGGUCCAGGUAACUAAGA